rnacentral:rRNA from 1 species
GACGAACGCUGGCGGCGUGCUUAACACAUGCAAGUCGAGCGGUAAGGCCCUUCGGGGUACACGAGCGGCGAACGGGUGAGUAACACGUGAGUAAUCUGCCCAUCACUUCGGGAUAACUCCGGGAAACCGGUGCUAAUACCGAAUAUGACCACUUCAGGCAUCUGAUGGUGGUGGAAAGUUCCGGCGGUGAUGGAUGAGCUCGCGGCCUAUCAGCUUGUUGGUGGGGUAGUGGCCUACCAAGGCUUCGACGGGUAGCCGGCCUGAGAGGGUGACCGGCCACACUGGGACUGAGACACGGCCCAGACUCCUACGGGAGGCAGCAGUGGGGAAUAUUGGACAAUGGGCGAAAGCCUGAUCCAGCAACGCCGCGUGAGGGAUGACGGCCUUCGGGUUGUAAACCUCUUUCAGCAGGGACGAGGCGCAAGUGACGGUACCUGCAGAAGAAGCACCGGCCAACUACGUG